GGGCCCGUAGCUCAGCUAGGUGGAGCGUCUGGCUUUUAACCAGAAAGUCCGGGGUUCGAAUGCGGAAAUCCCCGCGGGCUCA
rnacentral:tRNA from 1 species